CGCUGGCGGCAUGCUUUACACAUGCAAGUCGAACGGCAGCGCGGACUUCGGUCUGGCGGCGAGUGGCGAACGGGUGAGUAAUAUAUCGGAACGUACCCAAGAGUGGGGGAUAACGUAGCGAAAGUUACGCUAAUACCGCAUACGAUCUAAGGAUGAAAGUGGGGGAUCGCAAGACCUCAUGCUCCUGGAGCGGCCGAUAUCUGAUUAGCUAGUUGGUGAGGUAAAGGCUCACCAAGGCGACGAUCAGUAGCUGGUCUGAGAGGACGACCAGCCACACUGGAACUGAGACACGGUCCAGACUCCUACGGGAGGCAGCAGUGGGGAAUUUUGGACAAUGGGCGCAAGCCUGAUCCAGCAAUGCCGCGUGAGUGAAGAAGGCCUUCGGGUUGUAAAGCUCUUUUGUCAGGGAAGAAACGGUAGGAGCUAAUAUCUCUUGCUAAUGACGGUACCUGAAGAAUAAGCACCGGCU
rnacentral:rRNA from 1 species